rnacentral:lncRNA from 1 species
CCCUCCCUCCCUUUCUUUCUCUUUCUCUCUCUCUUUCCUUUCUUCCUCUCCCCUCCUUUCUCCUUCUUUUUCUUUCUUUUCUUUCUCUUUUUUCCUUUCUUCCUCUCUUUUCCUCCCUUUCUUUUUUUUUUCUCUCUCUCUCCUUUCUUCCUCUCUCCUUCCCUCCCUUUCUCCUUCUUUUUUUCUCUUUUCCUCUCUUUUUCUUCCUCUCUCCUUUCCUCCCUUUCUCCUUCUUUUCUUUCUCUUUCUUUCUCUCUCUUUCCUUUCUUCCUCUCUCCUUUCCUCCCUUUCUCCUUCUUUUCUUUCUCUUUCUUUCUCUCUCUUUCCUUUCUUCCUCUCUCCUUUCCUCCCUUUCUCCUUCUUUUCUUUCUCUUUCUUUCUCUCUCUUUCCUUUCUUCCUCUCUCCUUUCCUCCCUUUCUCCUUCUUUUCUUUCUCUUUCUUUCUCUCUCUUUCCUUUCUUCCUCUCUCCUUUCCUCCCUUUCUCCUUCUUUUCUUUCUCUUUCUUUCUCUCUCUCUCCUUUCUUCCUCUCUCCUUUCCUCCCUUUCUCCUUCUUUUCUUUCUCUUUCUUUCUCUCUCUUUCCUUUCUUCCUCUCUCCUUUCCUCCCUUUCUCCUUCUUUUCUUUCUCUUUCUUUCUCUCUCUUUCCUUUCUUCCUCUCUCCUUUCCUCCCUUUCUCCUUCUUUUCUUUCUCUUUCUUUCUCUCUCUUUCCUUUCUUCCUCUCUCCUUUCCUCCCUUUCUCCUUUUCUUUCUCUUUCUUUCUCUCUCUUUCCUUUCUUCCUCUCUCCUUUCCUCCCUUUCUCCUUCUUUUCUUUCUCUUUCUUUCUCUCUCUUUCCUUUCUUCCUCUCUCCUUUCCUCCCUUUCUCCUUCUUUUCUUUCUCUUUCUUUCUCUCUCUUUCCUUUCUUCCUCUCUCCUUUCCUCCCUUUCUCCUUCUUUUCUUUCUCUUUCUUUCUCUCUCUUUCCUUUCUUCCUCUCUCCUUUCCUCCCUUUCUCCUUCUUUUCUUUCUCUUUCUUUCUCUCUCUCUCCUUUCUUCCUCUCUCCUUUCCUCCCUUUCUCCUUCUUUUCUUUCUCUUUCUUUCUCUCUCUUUCCUUUCUUCCUCUCUCCUUUCCUCCCUUUCUCCUUCUUUUCUUUCUCUUUCUUUCUCUCUCUUUCCUUUCUUCCUCUCUCCUUUCCUCCCUUUCUCCUUCUUUUCUUUCUCUUUCUUUCUCUCUCUUUCCUUUCUUCCUCUCUCCUUUCCUCCCUUUCUCCUUCUUUUCUUUCUCUUUCUUUCUCUCUCUUUCCUUUCUUCCUCUCUCCUUUCCUCCCUUUCUCCUUCUUUUCUUUCUCUUUCUUUCUCUCUCUUUCCUUUCUUCCUCUCUCCUUUCCUCCCUUUCUCCUUCUUUUCUUUCUCUUUCUUUCUCUCUCUUUCCUUUCUUCCUCUCUCCUUUCCUCCCUUUCUCCUUCUUUUCUUUCUCUUUCUUUCUCUCUCUUUCCUUUCUUCCUCUCUCCUUUCCUCCCUUUCUCCCUCUUUUCUUUCUCUUUCUUUCUCUCUCUUUCCUUUCUUCCUCUCUCCUUUCCUCCCUUUCUCCUUCUUUUCUUUCUCUUUCUUUCUCUCUCUUUCCUUUCUUCCUCUCUCCUUUCCUCCCUUUCUCCUUCUUUUCUUUCUCUUUCUUUCUCUCUCUCUCCUUUCUUCCUCUCUCCUUUCCUCCCUUUCUCCUUUUCUUUCUCUUUCUUUCUUCCUCUCUCCUUUCCUCCCUCUUUCCCUCCCUCCCUCCGUCCCUGCCGUUUUAUUCUCAGUUCGGGGCCCUAUUUUCUAAGAUGGUAAGUUUCAGAGCGGAGGGGGAGCGGAAGUUUUCUCCAGGAAACAACUGA